rnacentral:rRNA from 1 species
UACGGAGGAUGCGAGCGUUAUCCGGAUUUAUUGGGUUUAAAGGGUGCGUAGGCGGGCAUUUAAGCCGGCGGUCAAAUGUCGGGGCUCAACCCCGGCCUGCCGUCGGAACUGGGUGCCUUGAGUGGGCGAGAAGUAUGCGGAAUGCGUGGUGUAGCGGUGAAAUGCAUAGAUAUCACGCAGAACCCCGAUUGCGAAGGCAGCCUGCUGGACUGUAACUGACGCUGAUGCUCGAAAGUGUGGGUAUCAAACAGG